AUACGUAGGUGGCGAGCGUUGUCCGGAUUUACUGGGCGUAAAGGAUGCGUAGGCGGAUAUUUAAGUCAGAUGUGAAAUUCCCGAGCUUAACUUGGGAACUGCAUUUGAAACUGGAUAUCUAGAGUGCAGGAGAGGUAAGUGGAAUUCCUAGUGUAGCGGUGAAAUGCGUAGAUAUUAGGAGGAACACCAGUGGCGAAGGCGACUUACUGGACUGUAACUGACGCUGAGGCAUGAAAGCGUGGGUAGCAAACAGGAUUAGAUACCCUGGUAGUCCACGCUGUAAACGAUGAAUACUAGGUGUGGGAGGUAUCGACUCCUUCCGUGCCGUCGUAAACACAUUAAGUAUUCCGCCUGGGGAGUACGAUCGCAAGAUUAAA
rnacentral:rRNA from 1 species